rnacentral:lncRNA from 1 species
UGAAAUAAAAAAUUGAAAUAUGUGGAAGGCCAUAAUGAAAUCUCUACAAAUGCCCAAUGAUCUGGUGUCACAAGUCUGAGCCUCUAAUACAAGGUUUCAACAGCCUAAUGCAGAAAUAUGUCUAAAAUGCGAAAUAGUAAAGAAAGAUAGAGGGAGAAAUCGGGUAUGCGGACGCCAUGCAGCUACCUCGAUAACUCCGAUGAAAAACUGAACAGCAGGAAAGCUAGCUCUACACCUCAGGGACACCUGUACCUGUACACACGAUGCAGGAUUUCACAAUAUAAAUGAGUUUUUAGGUCUGAAAUUCUUACCUCCAAAUGUUUCUCCUUGAAUCCC